UUUCCUGGGUGGUGUAUAAUUUUUAUAGAACAAAUAGCCGAAGGAAAAAUUCAAAUAUUUGUUCUAUUUAGAAAAUCUAAGAAAAAUCCUCAGAAGAGCGGUUUUUAAAAAGACUUGGCCACUAAUAAAUCAGCUUGCCCUACUAAGUUGAAAUUUCGAAAACCAUGUUUCCAUAAUAAAAGAUUAUAAAUUAAUGAUAUAAACAGAAGAGUAUGGGUGAUCUAAAGAUGAUAAAAAUAUUAAAGAUAACUGUUCUUCUUUGUUCACUAGUGUUAGUUACUUACUUUGCUUAUCAACCGAAUUUCAAAAUUAAAAACUAAAAUUUCAAAAAAAUUUUCAAAAGAAUUUCAAAAAAAAACUAAAAUUUUCUGUUCACAGCAUUACACAUAAACGUUAUUUGGAUUUUUAUACGGACAACCAAAUAAAUUUCAAAAGAAAUGUUUUAUCUUACUCAUUGUUUGGAAACAACUGGGAUAGGUACGGAAAAAAUGUUGAAUUUGUUGCAAAAGAAGCAGCAAACAAUAGCUUAUAUAAAAACUGGAUAGUCCGAAUUUAUCAUGACAAGUACACGAUAACACCAACUGUUGUUGCAAGCUUAACUGAGCGUUAUCAAAAUUUUUAAUGGAAUGGUGUGGAGAUUUUUAAUAGUUGCCGAUUUAACUGUGGAUAUUGCGUGUAUUAGAGAUUUGGACACAAAAAUUAUAGAACAAGAUACUGAUGCUGUAAAAGUUUUGCUGGAAUCAGGUAAGCUGGUUCAUUCAAUGAAAGAUCAUCCUCAACAUGAUAUACCAAUUUUGGGCGGUAUGUGGUGUUAUAGAAAUAUACAUAACCGAGACCUAGGAAUUAAAAUAGCUACUAUUUGUACUGAAAAGUGCAUGGGUCGUGAUCCUAUCAAACAGUUGGAAUCAAAAAGAGGAGAUGAUCAGGAUGUUUUAAAUUCGCAUGUUUGACCUCUAGUCAGCCAUAAUGUAUUAAUACACGAUUCAUAUUUGUGCGAAAGCGAUACUAAAAGUCAACCUUUUCCCACAAAAAGAGAUGUAACUGGAGAAUUUGUUGGACAAAUCAGGAAUGGAUCUGCAAAAAUGGUUAAGUGUCCGAUUGCAUGCCGCCCAAAAGAACAUCAAGAUUGGGAAUUUUGUUAAUAUUA